GAUGAACGCUGGCGGCGUGCCUAAUACAUGCAAGUCGAGCGAACAGACGAGGAGCUUGCUCCUCUGACGUUAGCGGCGGACGGGUGAGUAACACGUGGAUAACCUACCUAUAAGACUGGGAUAACUUCGGGAAACCGGAGCUAAUACCGGAUAAUAUAUUGAACCGCAUGGUUCAAUAGUGAAAGACGGUUUUGCUGUCACUUAUAGAUGGAUCCGCGCCGCAUUAGCUAGUUGGUAAGGUAACGGCUUACCAAGGCAACGAUGCGUAGCCGACCUGAGAGGGUGAUCGGCCACACUGGAACUGAGACACGGUCCAGACUCCUACGGGAGGCAGCAGUAGGGAAUCUGCCGCAAGGGGCGAAAGCCUGACGGAGCAACGCCGCGUGAGUGAUGAAGGUCUUCGGAUCGUAAAACUCUGUUAUUAGGGAAGAACAAAUGUGUAAGUAACUAUGCACGUCCUGACGGUACCUAAUCAGAAAGCCACGGCUAACUACGG
rnacentral:rRNA from 1 species